rnacentral:rRNA from 1 species
AUUGAACGCUGGCGGCAGGCUUAACACAUGCAAGUCGAGCGAGCGGCGGACGGGUGAGUAAUGUCUGGGAAACUGCCUGAUGGAGGGGGAUAACUACUGGCAACGGUAGCUAAUACCGCAUACCAUCAGAUGUGCCCAGAGGGGCUUAGCUAGUAGGUGGGGUAAUGGCUCACCUAGGCGACGAUCCCUAGCUGGUCUGAGAGGAUGACGAGCCACACUGGAACUGAGACACGGUCCAGUGUCCUCCGGGAGGCAGCAGUGGGGAAUAUUGCACAAUGGGCGCAAGCCUGAUGCAGCCAUGCCGCGUGUAUGAAGAAGGCCUUCGGGUUGUAAAGUACUUUCAGCGAGGAGGCUUUACUCGCAGAAGAAGCACCGGCUAACUCCGUGCCAGCAGCCGCGGUAAUAC